rnacentral:rRNA from 1 species
UACGUAGGGCGCAAGCGUUGUCCGGAAUUAUUGGGCGUAAAGAGCUCGUAGGCGGUGUGUCGCGUCGGAAUGUGGAAAGCCCGGGGCUUAACCCCGGGUCUGCAUUCGAUACGGGCAGACUGGAGUGUGGUAGGGGAGAUCGGAAUUCCUGGUGUAGCGGUGAAAUGCGCAGAUAUCAGGAGGAACACCGGUGGCGAAGGCGGAUCUCUGGGCCAUUACUGACGCUGGAGGAGCGAAAGCGUGGGGAGCGAACAGG